rnacentral:rRNA from 1 species
AUUGAACGCUGGCGGCAGGCUUAACACAUGCAAGUCGAGCGGAGGAGGUUGCUUCGGUAACUGACCUAGCGGCGGACGGGUGAGUAAUGCUUAGGAAUCUGCCUAUUAGUGGGGGACAACAUUCCGAAAGGAAUGCUAAUACCGCAUACGCCCUACGGGGGAAAGCAGGGGAUCUUCGGACCUUGCGCUAAUAGAUGAGCCUAAGUCGGAUUAGCUAGUUGGUGGGGUAAAGGCCUACCAAGGCGACGAUCUGUAGCGGGUCUGAGAGGAUGAUCCGCCACACUGGGACUGAGACACGGCCCAGACUCCUACGGGAGGCAGCAGUGGGGAAUAUUGGACAAUGGGCGGAAGCCUGAUCCAGCCAUGCCGCGUGUGUGAAGAAGGCCUUUUGGUUGUAAAGCACUUUAAGCGAGGAGGAGGCUCUUAAGGUUAAUACCCUUGAUGAGUGGACGUUACUCGCAGAAUAAGCACCGGCUAACUCUGUGCCAGCCGCCGCCGUAAAAC